CCUACGGGCGGCAGCAGUGAGGAAUAUUGGUCCAUGGACGAGAGUCUGAACCAGCCAAGUAGCGUGCAGGAUGACUGCCCUAUGGGUUGUAAACUUCUUUUAUAAAGGAAUAAAACGAGGCACGUGUGCCUUUUGCAUGUACUUUAUGAAUAAGGAUCGGCUAACUCCGUGCCAGCAGCCGCGGUAAUACGGAGGAUCCGAGCGUUAUCCGGAUUUUUUGGGUUGAAAGGGAGCGUAGAUGGGUUGUUAAGUCAGUUGUGAAAGUUUGCGGCUCAACCGUAAAAUUGCAAUUGAUACUGUCAGUCUUGAGUACAGUUGAGGUAGGCGGAAUUCGUGGUGUAUCGGUGAAAUGCUUAGAGAUCACGAAGAACCCCGAUUGCGAAGGCAGCUUACUAAACUGUGACUGACAUUGAUGCUCGAAAGUGUGGGUAUCAAACAGGAUUAGAUACCCCGGUAGUC
rnacentral:rRNA from 1 species